UCAGGGAUUUUCAAGAUAAGAGGUGUUGAAAGUAAACAGCCCUUAUUCCAGGAAAAGUUUAAGGACUGGCAACAUCUUCACUUUCUAUUAUUAACACUGGGUGACACAACUGCCAUAACGGACUAUGGCAGAAUGUUGAAAGAUGGAUUUUUUAAAAUGAAGUCUAUUACAGAACCUCUGUGGCAUGAAGCUGUUGUGGGGAAACCAACUGCAUCAACACAGCAUUUCUCAUCUAUUUACCUGUGAAAGGAGGACUCACAGCUUGGGUCAAGAAGUCAUUGCAGUGGUUGUUGGUGGUUUGAUUACUUUAUGGUGAUGGAAGCUGUAGACUUCUUUGAAGGGACCAAGAAGCGGCUGGAGGUUGGAUUUCCCAGCAGCAUUAAGACAAAGCAAGGCAUCCGGAGGUACCACUCCAAAGUACAGUAAACGUCAAUGCCAAAAACA